rnacentral:rRNA from 1 species
GAUCCAUGGCUCAGGAUGAACGGCUGGCGGCGUGCUUAACACAUGCAAGUCGAACGAAGCAACUGUGAUUGAGACUUCGGUGGAUUGAUCAGUUGACUUAGUGGCGGACGGGUGAGUAACGCGUGGGUAACCUGCCUUGUACAGGGGGAUAACAGUUAGAAAUGACUGCUAAUACCGCAUAACCCGCUAAGGUCGCAUGACCUAGACGGAAAAGAUUUAUCGGUACAAGAUGGACCCGCGUCUGAUUAGCUAGUUGGUGAGGUAACGGGCCCACCAAGGCGACGAUCAGUAGCCGGCCUGAGAGGGUGACCGGCCACAUUGGGACUGAGACACGGCCCAAACUCCUACGGGAGGCAGCAGUGGGGAAUAUUGCACAAUGGGGGAAACCCUGAUGCAGCAACGCCGCGUGAGUGAAGAAGUAUUUCGGUAUGUAAAGCUCUAUCAGCAGGGAAGAAAAUGACGGUACCUGACUAAGAAGCCCCGGCUAACUACGUG